rnacentral:rRNA from 1 species
AGAGUUUGAUCCUGGCUCAGAUUGAACGCUGGCGGCAUGCCUUACACAUGCAAGUCGAACGGCAGCACGGGUGCUUGCACCUGGUGGCGAGUGGCGAACGGGUGAGUAAUACAUCGGAACGUGUCCUGUAGUGGGGGAUAGCCCGGCGAAAGCCGGAUUAAUACCGCAUACGAUCUGAGGACGUAGUAAGGCGGGGAAAG